GAUGAAGAACGUAGCGAAAUGCGAUAAGUAAUGUGAAUUGCAGAAUUCAGUGAAUCAUCGAAUCUUUGAACGCAUCUUGCGCUCCUUGGUAUUCCUUGGAGCAUGCCUGUUUGAGUAUCAUGAGCAAAUCUCAAAGUCAAUUCCUUUUGUUGAUUCAAUUGGUUUUGCUUUGGACUUGGAGGCCUUGCAGAUUUCACAGUCUGCUCCUCUUAAAUGCAUUAGCUGGAUCUCAGUAAUUAUGCUUGGUUCCGCUCGGCGUGAUAAGUAUCACUCGCUGAGGACACUGUUAAAAAGGUGGCCAGGAAAAUACUGAUUGAACCGCUUCUAACGGUCUAUUAAGUUAGACAAUUACCCUUAAGUUUGAUCUCAAAUCAGGUAGGACUACCCGCUGAACUUAAGCAUAUCAAUAAGCGGAGGA
rnacentral:misc_RNA from 1 species